rnacentral:miRNA from 1 species
UCACCUGGCUGGCCCGCCCAG